rnacentral:rRNA from 1 species
AGCUAAGGUCCCAAAAUAUAUGUUAAGUGGAAAAGGAUGUGGCGUUGCCCAGACAACUAGGAUGUUGGCUUAGAAGCAGCCAUCAUUUAAAGAGUGCGUAAUAGCUCACUAGUCGAGUGACACUGCGCCGAAAAUGUACCGGGGCUAAACAUAUUACCGAAGCUGUGGAUUGUCCUUUGGACAAUGGUAGGAGAGCGUUCUAAGGGCGUUGAAGCAUGAUCGUAAGGACAUGUGGAGCGCUUAGAAGUGAGAAUGCCGGUGUGAGUAGCGAAAGACGGGUGAGAAUCCCGUCCACCGAUUGACUAAGGUUUCCAGAGGAAGGCUCGUCCGCUCUGGGUUAGUCGGGUCCUAAGCUGAGGCCGACAGGCGUAGGCGAUGGAUAACAGGUUGAUAUUCCUGUACCACCUAUAAUCGUUUUAAUCGAUGGGGGGACGCAGUAGGAUAGGCGAAGCGUGCGAUUGGAUUGCACGUCUAAGCAGUAAGGCUGAGUAUUAGGCAAAUCCGGUACUCGUUAAGGCUGAGCUGUGAUGGGGAGAAGACAUUGUGUCUUCGAGUCGUUGAUUUCACACUGCCGAGAAAAGCCUCUAGAUAGAAAAUAGGUGCCCGUACCGCAAACCGACACAGGUAGUCAAGAUGAGAAUUCUAAGGUGAGCGAGCGAACUCUCGUUAAGGAACUCGGCAAAAUGACCCCGUAACUUCGGGAGAAGGGGUGCUCUUUAGGGUUAACGCCCAGAAGAGCCGCAGUGAAUAGGCCCAAGCGACUGUUUAUCAAAAACACAGGUCUCUGCUAAACCGUAAGGUGAUGUAUAGGGGCUGACGCCUGCCCGGUGCUGGAAGGUUAAGAGGAGUGGUUAGCUUCUGCGAAGCUACGAAUCGAAGCCCCAGUAAACGGCGGCCGUAACUAUAACGGUCCUAAGGUAGCGAAAUUCCUUGUCGGGUAAGUUCCGACCCGCACGAAAGGCGUAACGAUUUGGGCACUGUCUCAACGAGAGACUCGGUGAAAUCAUAGUACCUGUGAAGAUGCAGGUUACCCGCGACAGGACGGAAAGACCCCGUGGAGCUUUACUGUAGCCUGAUAUUGAAAUUCGGCACAGCUUGUACAGGAUAGGUAGGAGCCUUUGAAACGUGAGCGCUAGCUUACGUGGAGGCGCUGGUGGGAUACUACCCUAGCUGUGUUGGCUUUCUAACCCGCACCACUUAUCGUGGUGGGAGACAGUGUCAGGCGGGCAGUUUGACUGGGGCGGUCGCCUCCUAAAAGGUAACGGAGGCGCUCAAAGGUUCCCUCAGAAUGGUUGGAAAUCAUUCAUAGAGUGUAAAGGCAUAAGGGAGCUUGACUGCGAGACCUACAAGUCGAGCAGGGUCGAAAGACGGACUUAGUGAUCCGGUGGUUCCGCAUGGAAGGGCCAUCGCUCAACGGAUAAAAGCUACCCCGGGGAUAACAGGCUUAUCUCCCCCAAGAGUUCACAUCGACGGGGAGGUUUGGCACCUCGAUGUCGGCUCAUCGCAUCCUGGGGCUGUAGUCGGUCCCAAGGGUUGGGCUGUUCGCCCAUUAAAGCGGUACGCGAGCUGGGUUCAGAACGUCGUGAGACAGUUCGGUCCCUAUCCGUCGUGGGCGUAGGAAAUUUGAGAGGAGCUGUCCUUAGUACGAGAGGACCGGGAUGGACAUACCUCUGGUGUACCAGUUGUCGUGCCAACGGCAUAGCUGGGUAGCUAUGUGUGGACGGGAUAAGUGCUGAAAGCAUCUAAGCAUGAAGCCCCCCUCAAGAUGAGAUUUCCCAACUUCGGUUAUAAGAUCCCUCAAAGAUGAUGAGGUUAAUAGGUUCGAGGUGGAAGCAUGGUGACAUGUGGAGCUGACGAAUACUAAUCGAUCGAAGACUUAAUCAA